CCUACGGGGUGCUGCAGUGGGGAAUAUUGGACAAUGGGCGAAAGCCUGAUCCAGCCAUGCCGCGUGUGUGAAGAAGGCCUUCGGGUUGUAAAGCACUUUCAGUGGGGAAGAAAGCCUUGGGGCUAAUACCCUCGAGGAAGGACAUCACCCACAGAAGAAGCACCGGCUAACUCCGUGCCAGCAGCCGCGGUAAUACGGAGGGUGCGAGCGUUAAUCGGAAUUACUGGGCGUAAAGCGCGCGUAGGCGGUCUGAUAAGCCGGUUGUGAAAGCCCCGGGCUCAACCUGGGAACGGCAUCCGGAACUGUCAGGCUAGAGUGCAGGAGAGGAAGGUAGAAUUCCCGGUGUAGCGGUGAAAUGCGUAGAGAUCGGGAGGAAUACCAGUGGCGAAGGCGGCCUUCUGGACUGACACUGACGCUGAGGUGCGAAAGCGUGGGUAGCAAACAGGAUUAGAUACCCAGUAGUC
rnacentral:rRNA from 1 species